CAGGCUGACCACACACCAAGAUGAGCGACGUGCGGUGCACAGAGUGCAGAAAAACUGCGACAGGGCACCACCAGGCCAUCGACAGUCGGCAGACGGUGUACCCACAGCAUCAAGCAUGAACCUCCCACCAGCUCACCCUCUAGCCCAACACACCAAUAAGACUUCCAUAGGCAGCAUCUCCUUUCCACAAUUUAUCCAUGAAAUGGCAUCUCCAAGACAUAUCACAGGAGGAACUAUUCCACCCUCAAACUUGUCAGGUGCAUCAAGUAAUUCUGUGUUUGCCUCAUCUUUGAGUGGGAAUACUGCAAUCCAGACAACAAAAGAGGUAACUGAUGGUCCACCUCAGGACUUCCUCUGCCCCAUCCAGCAACUUGAAGGCCAUGCAAUGACAACAAAUGAUGGAAACUCACGACUUGUGUGUCCCUAUUGUGGAAAAGUUAGCCGCUGCCUCAGUCACCUACAGACACACAUUAGAGUGCACACAGGAGAACGACCGUAUGUAUGCUCUUACUGUAACUUCAGGACAACCCAGAAAGUGGCCUUAAAGGAGCACAUUUAUACUCAUACUGGGGAGAAGCCUCAUUCAUGUCCAUAUUGUGACUUCAAGUGUGCUAAAAAGUGUAACCUGAACUCCCAUAUCAGACGACAUCACAGCAUGUUAUCCUGGCACCUGUAAAGUUAUGUUGUAACUUAUAUAAUGUGUGAGCAAUUGUUUUGAUUUUUUUUUAUAAAUUUGUUUAGUGAUGUCUUUGCCUGGGUGUGUUCCAUUUUCCUGCCUCAGAUCCUAGUUCAGGGAAUGAGUCAUGUAAAUAUAGGAACACAGUGGAACAUCACCAAUAUAAUGUCAAUGAUUUAAUCAGGAUGUACAAAAAUGAAAUGUAAGAUAUUAAAAUUGA